rnacentral:rRNA from 1 species
GUGCCAGCAGCCGCGGUAACACGGGGGGAGCAAGCGUUGUUCGGAAUCACUGGGCGUAAAGGGCGUGUAGGCGGUCAGGUAAGUGGAAUGUGAAAGCCCUCGGCUCACCCGAGGAUCGGCAUCCCAAACUGCCUGGCUUGAGUAUGGGAGAGGACAGGGGAAUUCCUGGUGUAGCGGUGAAAUGCGUAGAUAUCAGGAGGAACACCGGUGGCGAAAGCGCCUGUCUGGCCCAAUACUGACGCUGAUGCGCGAAAGCUAGGGGAGCAAACGGGAUUAGAUACCCCAGUAGUCC